rnacentral:lncRNA from 1 species
UUUAUGUUCCACCUGCCCGGGAAAAUCCCAGCCUUAUGUCAAUCCAAAAUCUUUUUUUCUGUAUCCAGACUGCCAUGCACACUGGAGAAAAUGAGACUUCUGACAGAGUGAAUGAACUCCUCCUGCCAAGUUACCUGGGCCUUCAACAAUACCUAAUAUGUUCAUUCCUCAGUAUGCAUGGGGGAUUGGUGUCAAGACCUCCCGCUUACUUAGAGGAUACCCAAAGAUGUUCAAGUCCCUUAUAUAAAAUAGGAAUUUGCAUAUCAAUUUACAUACAUCCUCUCAUACACUUUUAAAUCAUCUCUAGAUUAUUUAUAAUACCUAAUACAAUAUAAAUGCUGUUUUAAAUAGUUACUAUUUAGGAAAUGAUGACAAGAAGCAACUUUGUACAUGUUCAGUAAAGACAAUUUUUUUUCCACAUAUUUUUGAAACCUAUGGGUAUGGAACUUCUGGACACAGAGGACUGACUCUCAUUCUGUAUUUCCCUAGUCUUUGCCUCUCAUUUGCUAUAGGGUUCUUGCCUCAAUUCUCAAACACCUGCACUUCCAUAUUCCUAUUUUCAGGAAAUUAAAAAAAAAAAACAACAACAUACCAUUUCAAUUGUGAACUGUUUCCUACUCAUCCGUACAAAUCUGACUUGUUUUGGCACCCACGCUUGCCUUUUCCUCUACUGUCAAAAUAUUGAGUGUUUCUCUAUCAAAGGCUCAUCUGCUUUUAGCUGCUUCCCCCGUCUCUUUUCCCUUCCACAGCUGAGCUUUGGAAGUGUCAUUCCGUUCCCAUCUGCACUUCCUGUCUCCCUCUCACCUCCAGCUCACUCCACCUCCACAAUUUGCAGGUCCCACUCACCACCUCCCUCACUCAUUAGUGUUGUCUUUCAUCUUGACGAAUUUUGUCCUCCUGUUUUCUUUAAGUGAAUUUAUUCUUUUUCCAACAUCUUGAUUUGGAUCUUAAUUCACAUUAAUUUUUUUCUUCUUAAGAAGUAUUUAAGGCCCUGACUUUUUCCUCUCCUUUUUUUGUGUCUUACAGAUUCUUAUGUGAAGGAAUGUUUCCCAAUAUAUAUAUUUUUGUGUUGGGGGAGGGUUUUUUUGCUUUUCUCAUUGAGUGUGUAAAUAAAAUUUUUAAAAAUUCUGAGUGGUAGAGGGGCUGGGGCUGUAUCCCAGAGGCAGAGCGCUUGCCUAGCAUGCAUGAGGCACUGGGUUCAAUCCUCAACACCACAUAAAAAUAAACAAAUAAAAU